UAGCGGCUUCCAUGGCAUAACGCAGCCAGCGGGAGUCCCCAAGUUCCAGCGAUACUGUCAUCAGCUAAACUCACUCUUCCCUGAGUUCUGGCGCACCGUGCCGAGCCAGCUGCUUUCACCCAGCUUUGUGUCUCAUGUAGGCCAAAGCAGAGCAAGAUUGCCUUCCCUUCAGUGCAAGACUUAACUACUUCCCAAUACAAUAGAAAAUGCAAAUGAGAAGUAAUAUCCUACUUAACUGCCCUGAGAUAAUAUUUUAAAUCACAUAUCCACUUGGUUGUGAAGGUUGGUCUAUUGUAAUCGGUUUCUUCUCUGAUAUUUUGUUUCUUUCCCUCUAAACAUUUCUUUGGUAAUGGGAAGUCAAAAAACACUUUUUGUUAAAGCUUAAGAUUUGUUCAAAUUUCAAAGAGAAUGCCCUUAUUUGGAGAUUGGGAGGGAACUACACCAUUUAUAAACCUAUACUUGGUUUUAGGGUUUCAACUCAACAAGAGUUUCUAGUUUUGAUGUUUUUUGAACUUCCAAACAAAUUGAUAAGAUCAGUUUCAAACCUACAUCAUGUUUUCCUUCUGGAAUACAAUUAUCUUUCCUUCAAAAAUCUAGGCAAUAGUAUUAUUUCAAAUACAUCCUGUGACAUUCUUAUGCACAUACAUGUACAUAUAAAUACACCUAGACAUUCAGCACAGUUAAGGUCAUAUUAAGAGGACACAAAUGAACACAACAAGUGGAUCACACCAGAAGUUCUCAGUACAAUGAUCCCCCCUUUCUAAAAGGCGGGGCUGGAGGGAUGUAUGGCAAGUUCUAGCGAGGCACAUAUUAAAAGAUGACAGAUAAACA